GGAAGUGCAAGGCUCACUGGUGGGGCCCCCGGACUUCAAAUCCGGUGUACCGUCUGAGAAGGCGGUAGGUGGGUUCGAUUCCCAUGCACUUCC
rnacentral:tRNA from 1 species